rnacentral:rRNA from 1 species
UACGAAGGGGGCUAGCGUUGCUCGGAAUCACUGGGCGUAAAGGGUGCGUAGGCGGCUUUGUAAGUUAGAGGUGAAAGCCCGGAGCUCAACUCCGGAAUUGCCUUUAAGACUGCAUCGCUCGAAUCAUGGAGAGGUGAGUGGAAUUCCGAGUGUAGAGGUGAAAUUCGUAGAUAUUCGGAAGAACACCAGUGGCGAAGGCGACUCACUGGACAUGUAUUGACGCUGAGGUGCGAAAGCGUGGGGAGCAAACAGG